rnacentral:rRNA from 1 species
GACGAACGCUGGCGGCGUGCUUAACACAUGCAAGUCGGACGAUGAUGCCCAGCUUGCUGGGUGGAUUAGUGGCGAACGGGUGAGUAACACGUGAGUAACCUGACCCUGACUCUGGGAUAAGCGUUGGAAACGACGUCUAAUACUGGAUAUGACUGCCGGCCGCAUGGUCUGGUGGUGGAAAGAUUUUUUGGUUGGGGAUGGACUCGCGGCCUUUCAGCGUGUUGGUGAGGUAAUGGCUCACCAAGGCGACGACGGGUAGCCGGCCUGAGAGGGUGACCGGCCACACUGGGAGUGGGACACGGCCCAGACUCCUACGGGAGGCAGCAGUGGGGAAUAUUGCACAAUGGGCGAAAGCCUGAUGCAGCAACGCCGCGUGAGGGAUGACGGCCUUCGGGUUGUAAACCUCUUUUAGUAGGGAAGAAGCGUAAGUGACGGUACCUGCAGAAAAAGCACCGGCUAACUACGUGCCAGCCGCCGCGGUAAUAC